AAUUAAAUCCUUUCUUUUUUUUUAAGGUUGGUGUGCAUGUUUCCCUCCUAUUAGCGACGCUCCUGACUGGAGGCGCUGGCUAUGGAUACUCCAUUGAACCUGUGUUUAUUAAUAGGAAGAAUUGCAAGAUCGUGAGUGAGGAUAGAGGUAACUGUGACAAGGAGACCCUGCUCUACCUAUACAUUACUAACGGUGGGAUCGCCCUUGGAUUCACUGUCAUUGGUCUGAUCUACUCUCUGUUGAUCUGCAGAUGUGCCACGAAACGCAGACACAAUAGAGAGGUCAAUGAGCACAUGGAACAUGAGAAACAGGCGGAGCUGCAGAAAAGGGCCAGCAGAAGAAGUCACGAGAAAGUCACCUACGUGCCUGCCUGGCCGGGGACCUACGUCGCCCACCCUCAGGCCACAGCGGCGACUAAAACCGAAGCCAGCAACGGUGACUUAAACGCUGCCAAUAGGUUGUCUUCAGAUCAGCCGCAAGUCGAUCACAAAGUGGACAGCGGUAAACCUAUCCCCAAUAAAGAGCAGCCUUCAAACAAGGAUAAUCAAACAAGUGAGCCUAAAACCGGAGACGCUACAACCCACUUGUAACUUUUAACUUGAGCUAAAAGUGUCCCUUAAAGUGGAAAUGAAAUCACAACUUACCUUUGCAUUUACAGUAGGAAAACGAUCUACUAUGACGAUACAUUUUAUAGGCCAGUGAUGGAAUAAUGCCAACUUUCUUUCAUACUUAAGAAAAAAAAUCUAAUCAAUGUAUUGACUGUUCUAUAAAGAGGAUAAUAUGGCACUGAAAUGGCACCACUUGUUUUUAUAUAUUUUAGUACUUUUUCUAAGUGUAAAGUGCAAAUCUAGUAAAAUUGGAUAACAUGGAAUAAAUGAAGAGUGUUUGUGUUUUUUUUUUCAAAUUACUUUUACUUAACUUUGUCUAUAUCUUCUUUAAAAAAAACACAAAUAAAAUGAUUAGGUCAGUGUUGCCAACUCAAAAAAAAUAAAAAAUCCUCAUUGAUUAUAUUUAAAAAAGGAAUUUGCAGAUUCUAGAGAUGUUUUUUACUAAGAACUAUUAAUUUCUUUUAGUUGGUGCUGCUUGUUACAUUUGUUUUGUUUUACCUUCAUUCAAAUUUUAUACCCAUGAAUUAAAAACCUAGCUUAGUUAUUAGAGAUGUAUAUAAUGUAGAUCUAUAAAUUUGGGUGGUCACAAGGCACAGAUUAGGUUCAAACCUGGCCAGUGUGUUCUCCAGUGUUCCAGCUUUGUUAUUUCCCCAUAUAUUGUUAUUUCUCCUACCGUUGUAACUCAAAUGAUUGUUUAAAGCCAUUCUGAUUGUUAAUUGCCAUGGAUACGCUUAUUUUGCGACAUUUCCUAUUCAUACUUUUUAUAUUGAUGUGUAUUAUUUUUUAUUUGAUAUAUCAUCCAUUGCAAUGUUUCCCAAACUGUGUUCUUGUGUUUCAUGAGGCCUAUAUAGGUGUUCUACAUACUUAUGGAGUAAUUAGCUUGACUUACACAUGAAUAAAUUGCAUACUAAAUGAAAAUAUGGUUUGAUUUUUUUUUUUUUUUCUUUUAAACACAUAGGAAAUGAUCCAUCCAGAAAAACAAACAAAUUCUCUGAAUGUGCGAAGUGCUGUGUUAAAGAAAACAUUUGGGAAACACUGAUCAUUAUAUGGAUUUAUUAUUUUAUUAUAUUAUUUUAACGGGUUCUAUUAUGUUUUUCAGCUUAUUAUAAUUAAUAAAAAAUUAUUUUCAUAGAGAAAAAUGGAUGUGUUUAAGUUAAGCAAUAAGGCUCAUUGCAUUUUACAAAUGUAUUUCUUUAUUUUUUAUUUUACAAAUGAAUUUCUUUUUUUCUUAAAUAUAUAUUUGUUUAAAUUGGAAUUUUAAAAGGUUAAUUACACUUACUGGAGAAUCAGGGCUGCUUGAUAUGUGGUUAUACCUGUAAGUUUGUGAGUAUACUUGAGUGUGAGUACACUUGUGUGUUUGAGUACACAAAUAAUUGUGCGAAUGCAUGUGAGAGUGUGAGCAUGCAUGUGUAUUUUGAGUACACAUUUGUGUAUAGGCUUACACCUCUAAGUGUCUGACUACACAUGUUUGUGAGUAUAUUUUGAAGUGAUUGAGUUCUAUUGUAGUUUUGUUAGUAUACCUUCAAGAGUGUUAGUGCACAUGAGCAAACUUGUGAGAACACAAUUGGAUGUUAAGAUCACUGAUACUUGGGUCAAAGUUAAAUCCUCAUUAAAAUACCUGUUUGUACAUGU
rnacentral:sRNA from 1 species